rnacentral:rRNA from 1 species
UACGAAGGGGGCUAGCGUUGUUCGGAAUUACUGGGCGUAAAGCGUGCGCAGGCGGCUUCUCAAGUCAGGGGUGAAAGCCCAGAGCUCAACUCUGGAAUUGCCUUUGAGACUGAGUGGCUUGAGUACGAGAGAGGUGAGUGGAAUUCCCAGUGUAGAGGUGAAAUUCGUAGAUAUUGGGCAGAACACCGGUGGCGAAGGCGGCUCACUGGCUCGUAACUGACGCUCAUGCACGACAGCGUGGGGAUCAAACAGG